AGAAAUAGGUGCUAAUACCGCAUAAGCGCACGGCUCCGCAUGGGGCAGUGUGAAAAACUCCGGUGGUAUACGAUGGAUCCGCGUCUGAUUAGCUAGUUGGCGGGGUAACGGCCCACCAAGGCAGCGAUCAGUAGCCGGCCUGAGAGGGUGGACGGCCACAUUGGGACUGAGCCACGGCCCAAACUCCUACGGGAGGCAGCAGUGGGGAAUAUUGCACAAUGGGGGAAACCCUGAUGCAGCGACGCCGCGUGAGUGAAGAAGUAUCUCGGUACGUAAAGCUCUAUCAGCAGGGAAGAAAAUGACGGUACCUGACUAAGAAGCCCCGGCUAACUACGUGCCAGCAGCCGCGGUAAUACGUAGGGGGCAAGCGUUAUCCGGAUUUACUGGGUGUAAAGGGAGCGUAGACGGCAGCACAAGUCUGGAGUGAAAUCCCGGGGCUUAACCCCGGAACUGCUUUGGAAACUGUGCGGCUGGAGUGCAGGAGGGGUAAGCGGAAUUCCUAGUGUAGCGGUGAAAUGCGUAGAUAUUAGGAGGAACACCGGUGGCGAAGGCGGCUUACUGGACUGUAACUGACGUUGAGGCUCGAAAGCGUGGGGAGCAAACAGGAUUAGAUACCCUGGUAGUCCACGCCGUAAANGAUGAUUACUAGGUGU
rnacentral:rRNA from 1 species